rnacentral:rRNA from 1 species
GAUCCUGGCUUAGGAUGAACGCUAGCGACAGGCUUAACACAUGCAAGUCGAGGGGCAGCGGGGGUAGCGAUACCCGCCGGCGACCGGCGCACGGGUGAGUAACGCGUAUGCAACUUGCCUAUCAGAGGGGGAUAACCCGGCGAAAGUCGGACUAAUACCGCAUGAAGCAGGGAUCCCGCAUGGGAAUAUUUGCUAAAGAUUCAUCGCUGAUAGAUAGGCAUGCGUUCCAUUAGGCAGG